rnacentral:rRNA from 1 species
UGGGGACCCCCCCCCCCCCCCCCCAACCCUGCUGCCGCGACGCCGCGCGCGUGAUGAAGGACUUCGUUUCGUAAAACUCUGUUCUAUGGGAAGAAAAGGACUGUACCAUAGGAGAAAGCUCCGGCUAAAUACGUGCCAGCAGCCGCGGUAAUACGUAUGGAGCGAGCGUUGUCCGGAAUUAUUGGGCGUAAAGGGUGCGCAGGCGGCUUUACAAGUUGGAUGUGAAAUAUUGUGGCUCAACCACAAACGUGCAUCCAAAACUGCAAAGCUUGAGUUAAGGAGAGGUAAGUGGAAUUCCUGGUGUAGCGGUGGAAUGCGUAGAUAUCAGGAGGAAUACCGGUGGCGAAGGCGACUUACUGGACUUAAACUGACGCUCAGGCACGAACGCGUGGGGAGCAAACAGG